CACGCAGUAAACGAUGAUUACUAGCUGUUUGCGAUACACAGUAAGCGGCACAGCGAAAGCGUUAAGUAAUCCACCUGGGGAGUACGCCGGCAACGGUGAAACUCAAAGGAAUUGACGGGGGCCCGCACAAGCGGAGGAACAUGUGGUUUAAUUCGAUGAUACGCGAGGAACCUUACCCGGGUUUGAACGUAGGGAGACAGGGGUGGAAACAUCCUUUUCAGCAAUGACUGCCUACGAGGUGCUGCAUGGUUGUCGUCAGCUCGUGCCGUGAGGUGUCGGCUUAAGUGCCAUAACGAGCGCAACCCUUAUUUCAGUUACUAACAGGUGAUGCUGAGGACUCUGGAGAGACUGCCAGCGUAAGCUGU
rnacentral:rRNA from 1 species